ensembl:lncRNA LINC01320 long intergenic non-protein coding RNA 1320
CAGGUGCCACAGGGUCUUCUAAGCCCUGGUGAAUGCUGUAAAGCAAAUACAUCUCAUUUAUCUCUUUGCAUAUUCCACAAAUUUUACCAUAUAACCUAUAUGUAGGAACUCUCAUUCCAUACUUAUCUUUAGUCUGUGUAUAGAGACAGAAUAUUGACCGAGAAUAGAAAAAUAAGGCUGGUUAGAUUACCUUUGUCAAGCUUAUGCUACACCCUAAUGGGGUUCAGGACACACUAUCCCAAAAUGUAGCUAGACAAUGAGUUCUCUGAGAGCAGGAUCCACCUAUUUGGUUGUAAUAGUUUUGUUUCUAUAAAUGUUGAAUGAGUGGAUCGAUUUAUCAAAAUAGAGUUUAUGAACAUAAAAAAUUGCCUUAUGCAACCAAGUUUGAUAAUAACAACAUGACCUUGAUAUUAAACUGAAAAAAGGCAUCUUCCAGUCUCUACUAUUACCACCUCUCCCCAACUAUUAUAGCCAUUCAAAUCUCUAACCAGGCUGAAUAUUAAAUAAAAUGGUUUACCAUCUGAUGUUAAGGUAUAAAGAUAAGAUUUUUUUUUUUCUGAAUUAAAAAAAAUAGUCCAAAGAAGAAGGAAGAAGAAAGGGGAUAUAAUGAGAAUGAGAAGCGUCAGAUAAUUAGGCAGCAGUCCAACAAUUAGGUUUUGUGGAACUUUUACUAUGUCAUCUAUUUAUUGGAAUUCCCCCUGGAUACCAGGACCCCCUCCAGCAGAGCUUAAAGUUAUAGUUACAGGAAGUACAAAUUCCUUAUGUGGAUCCCUGGAAGUGUGAUGAGAAGAACCACUGUUUCCAAGAUCUAUUUAUUCUAUUUAUCAGGCCUAUAAAAUCAUGUAAUGGCCAUGGCUUCAACUAGACUCCACAUCUUGAAUCACAGAACUCAACGAAUGGCAUCAACUACAAGCUGGUAUUCUGCUAUACAUUUAAGAGGCCAUUUUAAUAUUCUAUUAGUCUAGCAGCUUCUAAGUGAUGAGGGAUAUGGGGGGACUGGAGGAUCCCGUGCUCACUUCCUUUUCUGUAAAAGGAGCUCUUUGAUCCAAGGUGACAUGGUAUGGGAUCCAAUGACAAUAAAUCAGUUAUUCUGUGAACCCUGAUCAAAA